UACCUUACGUGCCUCUUAUAUAGA
rnacentral:siRNA from 1 species